CUAAAGUAUUGCUGUGUAACCUGGCUUUCCUGAUUGGCUGAAUAAAAGGCCUACACCUGGGCAGGGCAGAAGUGAGAGACAGAGCUAAGGUUCGAGGGCUUGAAGGACAGAAGGAUCACGGGAGGAGACAGGGGAUCUGAUGGAAUCUGGAGCUUUUAAAGUCAGCAAAAGCUGAUUAGGCAAGUCCGGAUUCACCUGCCUCUGCCCGCAACGCUAGAGGUACAGACAGGCAUGUGCAAAUGUGCCCAGCUUUCAUGUGGGUGCUGGAGGGGCGAACCCAGGCUCUCCUGCUUUUAUAGUAAGCUGUAAGCCUGCAGCAAUCCAAUCCAGGUGCCUCGUCCUUCCAAGCGCUAGGAUCAGAGGCAUGCGCCACUGGGCAUGGCCUGCUCUUUACCUCUCUAACUACACAGAAGGCACAGUUUCUCCACUGCUUGGCUUCCUACGGGAUGCUUCCCUGCUAAACCUCCUCUUUUAGUGAGCUCAAAGCAGCCCUCGGCAAGCUGACUCGAACUGGCUUCAACGUUGUGUGGGUCUCUCUGUUACCCACACAUCCCUGCUUUAUUUGGAAGAGCCGUGUGCGUCAGUGGGCUGCUCUCCUGCGUCAGGUUAUGCUAUCGCUUCGACUGACUGGCCCUUCACAUGCCCCCCAUCACAGCACAGCAGAACGGUCGGCCUUACAGCCUUCGUCUCCCUGUUCCGGGACGUCUGAACCAACACCCAUCGCCUCCUACAUCGCCGUCUCUGACUUUUCUACGUCUGUCGCUCGUCCAGCUUGUCACCGUCACACGUCAUUUUGUUUAUUCAAUUAGACACAUGUCGCUUUGGAAAUUCACUACUUGUCAAACCGUUCUUGUAUACAAUCUGAAACUCCAAUCAGUCCACCAUGGAGCUUAGGUGGCCUCACAUUUUAAAGUAACGUAUUUUAUAACAACAUUUU